rnacentral:rRNA from 1 species
AGUGAACGCUGGCGGUAGGCCUAACACAUGCAAGUCGAACGGCAGCACAGGAGAGCUUGCUCUCUGGGUGGCGAGUGGCGGACGGGUGGGGAAUACAUCGGAAUCUACUUUUUCGUGGGGGAUAACGUAGGGAAACUUACGCUAAUACCGCAUACGACCUACGGGUGAAAGCAGGGGAUCUUCGGACCUUGCGCGAUUGAAUGAGCCGAUGUCGGAUUAGCUAGUUGGCGGGGUAAAGGCCCACCAAGGCGACGAUCCGUAGCUGGUCUGAGAGGAUGAUCAGCCACACUGAACUGAGACACGGGCCAGACUCCUACGGGAGGCAGCAGUGGGGAAUAUUGGACAAUGGGCGCAAGCCUGGUCCAGCCAUACCGCGUGGGUGAAGAAGGCCUUCGGGUUGUAAAGCCCUUUUGUUGGGAAAGAAAUCCAGCUGGUUAAUACCCGGUUGGGAUGACGGUACCCAAAGAAUAAGCACCGGCUAACUUCGUGCCAGCAGCCGCCGUAA